GACGAACGCUGGCGGCGCGCUUAACACAUGCAAGUCGAGCGAGAACCAGACCUUCGGGUCUGGGGACAGCGGCGAACGGGUGAGUAACACGUGGGUAAUCAACCCUCGGUACUGGGAUAGCCAGGGGAAACCCGGAUUAAUACCGGAUGGCCCUUCGGAUCUUCGGUUCUGAAGGAAAAGGUAGCUUCGGCCUCCGACCGAGGCCGAGCCCGCGGCGGAUUAGCUUGUUGGUGGGGUAACGGCCUACCAAGGCGACGAUCCGUAGCUGGUCUGAGAGGACGACCAGCCACACUGGGACUGAGACACGGCCCAGACUCCUACGGGAGGCAGCAGUGGGGAAUCUUGCGCUAAUGCGGGAAACCGUGACGCAGCGACGCCGCGUGGGGGAAGAAGGCCUUCGGGUUGUAAACCUCUUUCAGGAGGGACGAAGCUACUCGGGUUAAUAGCCCAGAGGGUGACGGUACCUCCAGAAGAAGCCCCGGCUAACUACGUGCCAGCCGCCGCGGUAAGAC
rnacentral:rRNA from 1 species